UACGUAGGUGGCAAGCGUUGUCCGGAAUUAUUGGGCGUAAAGCGCGCGCAGGCGGUCCUUUAAGUCUGAUGUGAAAGCCCACGGCUCAACCGUGGAGGGUCAUUGGAAACUGGGGGACUUGGGUGCAGGAGAGAAGAGUGGAAUUCCACGUGUAGCGGUGAAAUGCGUAGAGAUGUGGAGGAACACCAGUGGCGAAGGCGACUCUUUGGCCUGUAACUGACGCUGAGGCGCGAAAGCGUGGGGAGCGAACAGG
rnacentral:rRNA from 1 species